rnacentral:piRNA from 1 species
UGAUUGCCAUGGAAUGCCGUAUGUACACC